CCUACGGGAGGCAGCAGUGAGGAAUAUUGGUCAAUGGACGAGAGUCUGAACCAGCCAAGUAGCGUGAAGGAUGACUGCCCUAUGGGUUGUAAACUUCUUUUAUAUGGGAAUAAAACGUUCCACGUGUGGGAUUUUGUAUGUACCAUAUGAAUAAGGAUCGGCUAACUCCGUGCCAGCAGCCGCGGUAAUACGGAGGAUCCGAGCGUUAUCCGGAUUUAUUGGGUUUAAAGGGAGCGUAGGUGGAUUGUUAAGUCAGUUGUGAAAGUUUGCGGCUCAACCGUACAAUUGCAGUUGAAACUGGCAGUCUUGAGUACAGUAGAGGUGGGUGGAAUUCGUGGUGUAGCGGUGAAAUGCUUAGAUAUCACGAAGAACUCCGAUUGCGAAGGCAGUUCACUGGACUGCAACUGACACUGAGGCUCGAAAGUGUGGGUAUCAAACAGGAUUAGAUACCCUUGUAGUC
rnacentral:rRNA from 1 species